AUUGAACGCUGGCGGCAAGCCUAACACAUGCAAGUCGAACGAGUGGCGGACGGGUGAGUAAUGUCUGUGAAACUGCCUGAUGGAGGGGGAUAACUACUGGAAACGGUAGCUAAUACCGCAUACCAUCGGAUGUGCCCAGAUGGGAUUAGCGAGUAGGUGGGGUAAAGGCUCACCUAGGCGACUAUCCCUAGCUGGUCUGAGAGGAUGACCAGGCACACUGGAACUGGGACACGGUCCAGACUCCUACGGGAGGCAGCAGUGGGGAAUAUUGGACAAUGGGCGAAAGCAUGAUGCAGCCAUGCCGCGUGUAUGAAGAAGGCCUUCGGGUUGUAAAGUACUUUCAGCGGGGAGGCGUUACCAGCAGAAGAAGCACCGGCUAACUCCGUGCCAGCAGCCGCGGUAAUUC
rnacentral:rRNA from 1 species